rnacentral:lncRNA from 1 species
UACAGGGAGGUCAAUAAAUACUUUAAGUGGACUCAGCUAUUAAAGGGGCUAAGGGACAGUUUAAACUCUGCUGUGUGACUGCAGAAUUGAGCUCUUGGCCACCUGUUGAGCUGUAGUCACUUGGGGAACACUAGCCCAUUCUUUACAUUCAUUCUGGGCAGGAUGGUUUAGAGAACUAACCCAGAGUGAUGGGAUACAAAUUGACAUUUUUGGUUGAGCUAAAUGGAACUGACCAGGGAAACAAAUGAAAGACCAUUUGGAGGGGCAGAAGGAAUACAGGCCCACAAAGGUGAGAGGGUAAAGCAUGUUUUGGAAUUUGCAAGUAGUUUUACAUGGCACACAGUGUGGAAUUGUGUAAAGGACUGGUGAGAGGAAAGCUUUGACAGCCUUGGCAAAGAGUUUUAACUAAAAUCAGAAGGCAUAGAAGACUUUUAAGCAAAUGAAAGCUAAGAUCCUUUAGAAAGGACUCUAUGGUAAUAUCUUAUAUGCAAGGUACUGACCCUGGAGCAAGAACUCCCAAAGCAAAAGUAAAACCAUUACCUGUUAUUCCUUGCCAAGGAUUCAAUACCUUAUAGGUUGAAUGUUAAUACAAAACACCCUGAUUUUUAAAUCUCAUUAAAGAACUCAGUCUCCCAUUGACUGUUUUCUAGGACUAAUAAAAAACUAUCCUAGGAAAGCUAAUCUGGACCCAGGGAAAGCUAAGAAGGAUAAUAUAAUAAGCAUGCCUUUCCAGUCUCCAAUCCCUACCUACCCCUGUAUCUAGCUAAAUGGGCUGGCUAUUAAUGAUUUUUCUCUCUUGUGUAGAAACUGAGGUACAUUUAUGAGAUUUUAUAUGGGCCACACUGUACUCUUAUUCUUAAAGUCUGUUGUGUCCAAGUUUUCCAGUGGAAUAGCCCAUCCUCUCUAAGAUCUAUAGGUUGAGAAAUACCCUCCUGCAGGACGUACUGAUUACACAUGGCUGCUAAGGCAACUUCAGAAAUGAACAGCCCAUUUCAGCUCUCUCUGUUCCACUUCUCCAGAUGAACCAAAUAAAGCACUUGAGACCUAGAAUUUCAAAAACAGAGGAGUGUCUAUUGAAAGGUAGUGCUAUGCAGAGAUGAAGCAUGCAAACUCUGGAUUCAGCAGAACAUGAAUUCAGAUAUUAGCCUCUGCAUUUAGCAGCUCUUACCUUGCGUAAGACACUUAACCCCCUAUAAAUCUCUUUUAUAGCAUAUGGGAGAGUAAAAGAGAUGAUCCAUUGGAAUGUUAUCAUAGUCCUUAUCACAAAGUAUCUACUCAAUAAAAUGUUUAUUACUGUUGCUUUGCUGUUGUUGUGGACCAUGAAGGAAAUGGUAUAAUUGGCCAGUUUUCUCUUCUCUCACUUUCUAACCCAAGAAGAAUUUUAAGCAGAUAAGAUAAUCUCAGAAUCCUGGCAUUUUCUUCCCUUGAACAGCUGUGAAUAGCAAAAAGUGGGUUAUAAAGUGAUCUACAGAUUCAAUGCAAUCCCUAUCAAAAUUAUAAUGGUGUUUUCCACAGAAAUAGAAAAAAAAUCCUAAAAUUUGUAUGAAACUACCAAAAACACUGAAUAGCCAAAGCAGUCUUGAGAAAGAACAAAGCUGGAGACAGCAUACAUCCUGGUUUAAAACUAUAUUACAAAGCUAUAAUAAUCAAAACAGUGUGGUACUAGCAUUAAAAACAAACACAUAUAUCCAUGAAACAGAAUAGAGAACCCAGAAAUAAACCCAAGAAUAUGUGGUCAACUAAUCUAUAACAAGAGAGUCAAGAACACACAAUGGGGAAAGGAUAAUCUCUUUGAUAAACGGUACUGGUAAAACUGGAUAUCCACAUACAAGAGCAUGAAAUUUGACUCCUAUAUUAUACCACACACAAAAAUCAACUCAAAAUGGAUUAAAGAAAUAAAUGUAAGACCCGAAACCAUAAAACUCCUAGAAUAAAACAUUGGAAAAAGCUCUUUGACAAUUGUCUUCACAAUGAGUUUUUGGAUAUGACACCCAAAGUA